rnacentral:rRNA from 1 species
UACGUAGGGUCCGAGCGUUGUCCGGAAUUAUUGGGCGUAAAGAGCUCGUAGGCGGUUUGUCGCGUCUGCUGUGAAAUCCCGAGGCUCAACCUCGGGUCUGCAGUGGGUACGGGCAGACUGGAGUGCGGUAGGGGAGAAUGGAAUUCCUGGUGUAGCGGUGGAAUGCGCAGAUAUCAGGAGGAACACCUGAGGUGAAGACGGGUUGCUGGGCCAACACUGACGCUGAUGCGCGAAAGCCAGGGGGGCAAACGGG